rnacentral:rRNA from 1 species
AUUGAACGCUGGCGGCAGUCCUAAAACAUGCAAGUCGAGCGGAGCGGCGGACGGGUGAUUAAUGCCUAGGCAUCUCCCUGGUAGUGGGGGAUAACGUCCGGACACGGGCGCUAAUACCCCAUACUAUCAGAUGAGCUUAGGUCGGAUUAGCUAGUUGGUGGGGUAAAGGCCUACAAAGGCGACGAACCAUAACUGGUCUGAGAGGAGUAUAAGUCACAUUGAAACUGAGACACGGGCCAGACUCCUACGGGAGGCAGCAGUGGGGAAUAUUGGAUAAGGGGCGAAAGCCUGAUCCAGCCAUGCCGCGUGUGUGAAGAAGGUCUUCGGAUUGUAAAGCACUUUAAGUUGGGAGGCGUUACCAACAGAAUAAGAACCGGAUAACUUCGUGCCAGCAGCCGCGGUAAUAC